AACGAGCUAGCGAAGCCUUUGCCCUCGAGCGACGCCACACCAGAUCCUUCGCCGUCGCCCUCGCACAUCAAGCCGCCGCCCUCGCCCUCGCAGCCGCCGCCGAUCCCCUCCCCCAUCUCCCUCCCUCAAACGCCGCCGCCCGUCGCUGCCGCCUCCGCCACCUCCCCAACGCACGUCUCUCGAUCCCCUCCCCAGAUCGCUGCCGUCUCUCCGGAUCGCGCCACUCUGCCCCCACCCGAAUGCACGUCUCUCGAUCCCCUCUCGAGAUCGCCGCCGCCGCUGUCUCUCCGGAUCGCGCCGCCGCCGUCUCUCCGGAUCCGCCGCCGCUGUCUCUACUUGUGGAGUCGCACGACGAUCCCUUCCCGGAUCCGCCGCCGAUCACUUUCAGGAUCCGCCACCGACCACUUCUAGGAUCCGCCGCGUACCGCCUACAGGAUCUGCCGCCGAUCACUUCAAGGUUCCGCUGCGUACCGCCUAUAGGAUCCGCCCGUUCGUGGGGCGGCUAGCUUUGCUGAUGCAUAUGCCGACAUGAUAAACAAGAUAUGCAUGCAUAUUUUAAUUUUAUUUGGAGAUAAGAUAUAUAUGCGAUACUAAUUGCUAAGUCGAGGAAGCAUGUGAUUUCGAUGUUGAUACUGAUUCUCAAGAAGUGUUGGAUACUCUGCUUAACACGAAACUGGAACAUGAAACACUGAUGCAGGUUUCAUGAUGGAACUGGAAAGGCCCUUCUGAAGAGAUCGGGACAAAGGAGUUCUGAAGAAGAAGAUUCAUCUACAGAAUAUAUAAUAUGCAUUGAAGAAAACAGAGAUUCAUCUUGGUGAGCACUAACCGUUCAUUAUAGAUUGUUGGCGAGAUAAGUUGCUCCUAUGACUAAAAUUGUGCCGGCGCUCUGAUUUACUACUGGGUGCCCUUUCUAGAGGUAAAUUUUAUUAUUAUUUUGGUCUCAUGUACGUGGGGGGGGGGGGGUGUCUUGAUUGAUUCACUAACUGUUCUAGCUUUGACGUUGUAUGUCAUCAGCUUGGGUUUGUUCGAUCAGAGUUUUCACACAUUAUAUGACUUCGUUAAAAUUCAGGUUGCGUUCUGUCUUUUAUACUUUAAAAAAAUAGCGAGUGAACCUUUUUUGAAAUUCGGUCUGCCACAUAGAGAGGAACUCAUUGGCUCCCCGGCGCCAUCGAGCACUGAGGUUGACCAAACAAGCGUGUGAACAUUUAUGAGAUUUGUAAUUUGAAAACUAUAUAAAGCCAAAUAACUAUGAACACACCCUUGGAAUAAAUGUGACAGGAGAAUCUGCGGUCUUACCGGAAAAAAUUGAAACAUUAGCUAGGAUUUGUUGGUUAGAUUCAUGUUGCUCCAUCCAUUUACUAUCAGUUCCUUUCAUAUAUUGCUUCCAUCAGAACACGUUGACCUGAUUGUCCAUGGUUACACUCAUCUUCAAAUGGCACAACUUGUUUUGCUGCCACAUCUUCUCUUACUAUACGAUGAAUAGGUACUAUGUUCCAUCUCUCUCUUAUUUCACACUGCAUUAACAAUGUUUUUUCAGUGUGUCGAUUUGCCUAACUAUGCCUUAUUGAUUACUGAUUUUGUUACUAAUGUGUACACAAACCCUGCCUAAUUAAUUUAGUCCACUAUAUCUAACCAUAUGAAGUGUGAAAGUUGAUUCUGACUACUUGCCUGGUGGUGUGGUACAUUACCUCUUUUUUUAAAUUAUGAGAGCGGAACGACAGCGUUGGCGUGGACGACUCAGAGCUCAACCCCGUCAAGGGCCGCGAGCAGGAGCGGCAUUCUUUUCCACACGAAGAUGACCAAGGUCCAAGGGCGCCGUCGGCCACUUUGUCAUUGUCGUCGAAGAGUCCAAGCUUGUCCCCGCAUCGGUUGCAUUGGUGCCGAUCAGGUGCUAAUCUGAAUCCUUGUCCAAUUGCAAGUGGCCUAUAAAAAACCCUGGGUUGAAUGCACAUUACCAUCACACUGCCAUGUAAUUUUUGUUGGUACACAAUCAUGUUGCUGCAGUUCUAUUUAUAGACUUUUUGGCCAUUUUGUCUUUGUGUUUGUCCAUGGUCAGAUCAUGUUUUUAAGCUUGAUUGUUAUGAGUCAGUAAGGUGAGAAUGAGCGGUAAUGGUUUAACUAAUCAUCCCAUCAUGUUUUUAGUAUCAUAAUUUAUUUAUGCUAAUUCUUUCAACAUUAUUGCCGUUGAUGAUUCUAAAAGGUAAAGAGAAAUGUUAAAGAAUUCAUCUUCUGCUAUGGCACGCAACCCCGCCGGCUCCGUGGAUGUCUACGCAGGCAUCGUCCUUAACCGCUGUCUAGCGCCACUACCCUGCAGCUUCUGUGACCUCUGUUGGCCUCAUCAGGGUUCCUUCACCCUCCAGCUGCUCACGUGCUUCUCUGUUCGUCGCAGGUCCAGGUCUGCGCGGUUGGGGCGUCAAUCACGUGUUCAACGGCAUGUCAGAGCAACUCUCUGGCCAGAACCCUGACUAUGCGCGCUUCAGAUCCUGCCCAUCUUGAAGUCAUAAAUCCAGUGAAGUCAAUUUCAGUAUAUUCAGGACAUAGCCAGUAGCUUAGCAAUUUCCACGAGUAUGUUUUGUUUACAAUAAAGUUGUGUGCAAAAUGUAUAUGCUACAUUAUGCAUGAUGCUCUCUUUUAUCAAAGUAUAUCGAUGUGUCUAUUUUGUCAUCCCGUUGCAAUGCACGGGGACCUUCGAUUUGAUUCAGUUUUAUGCUCUACUACAAAUAGGGAAAUGUGGACACUGGAUAUCCAUUUCUUAGGUGUCAAUCUGGUACUUAGGAUGUAUAGCCUAGGCACGUAAUCUGAUUUAUAGCCUAGGCACUUUUCUUUAAGCAUAGUUACAUAUUCGAUGGUGACCAAACAAUAUGUGUCUUACCACUAUUUGAGACGGUCCCUUAAACUGCCCGCAGUAGCUGACCAAGUACCACCAAUGUUGUUUCUGCAUGUGUGAGGCCAUAAGUCAUAUCCCCAAAUUAUUGUAGUUGUGAUUUAUCAUUGACACAGUAUGUGUAGAAACUUUUUUGGUCUAAAUGAGAAGAACAAUAGUGUCGGGGAUGUUUUUUGACCGUUUCUUUUACCUAGCUUCUGAUUUCUAUUAUCAGAAACACAUUUUUUGGACCUACAGGAAAAGAUCUGUAAAUAGAGGAUUUGCCGAAGCUUUUUGAGUCCCUGAUGCAUACUAAAUACAGUAGAGUAGUGUUUAUGCAUGAUAACAAUCUGGAAAAUUGCUCCAAAAUAACACUUAAAACAUGUAAAAGAAGAAAAAAAUCCAUUCUGAAUUCUAAAAUCAUCCUUCAGUGUAUGCAGCAAACCGCUUCCUUUAUGAUCUGAUUAAAA